rnacentral:rRNA from 1 species
CCUACGGGAGGCAGCAGUAGGGAAUUUUCGGCAAUGGGGGGAACCCUGACCGAGCAACGCCGCGUGAACGAAGAAGUUAUUCGUAAUGUAAAGUUCUUUUAACAGGGAAGAAAGAGAAAUUUGACGGUACCUGAAGAAUAAGCUCCGGCUAACUACGUGCCAGCAGCCGCGGUAAUACGUAGGGAGCGAGCGUUAUCCGGAAUUAUUGGGCGAAAAGGGUGCGUAGAUGGCAUAGUAAGUCUUUUGUAAAAAUGCUGGGCUCAACCCAGUAGGGCAAAAGAUACUGCAAAGCUAGAGUAUGACAGAGGCAAGUGGAACUACAUGUGUAGCGGUAAAAUGCGUAAAUAUAUGUAAGAACACCAGUGGCGAAGGCGGCUUGCUGGGUCAAUACUGACAUUGAGGCACGAAAGCGUGGGGAGCAAACAGGAUUAGAUAGCCUAGUAGUC